rnacentral:rRNA from 1 species
CGGUGGAUGAAGUAAUUCUAAAAUGGAUAACCGUGGGAAAUCUAGAGCUAAUACAUGCAAAAGAGAAUUCUUUAGAAAAAGGAAUGCAUAUAUUAGAUACAAAUCCAAAAAUACAAAGGUGAAUCAUAAUAUUUAUAGCAAAUUAUACAGAGGAAGUAAUUCUUCUUGAUAAUAAACCGAUCAAAUUUUCUGCCCUAUCAUACUUUGGACGGUAAUGUAGUGGAUUACGGUGGUGAUGACGGGUAACGGAGAAUUAGGGUUUGAUUCCGGAGAGGGAGCAUGAGAAAUGGCUACCACUUCCAAGGAAGGCAGCAGGCGCGUAAAAUUACCCAAUCCUAAAACAGGGAGGUAGUGACGAUAAAUAACAAUGAUUCAAUGAUAACAAAGUUGAAUUAAUUGGAAUGAGAAC